AAUCAACGCUGGCGGCGUGCCUCAGACAUGCAAGUCGAACGAUUAAAGCUCUCUUCGGAGAGUGUAUAGAGUGGCGCACGGGUGAGUAACACGUAAGUAAUCUACCUUUGAGUGGGGAAUAACCCGGGGAAACCCGAGCUAAUACCGCAUAAUGCAGCGGCACCGCAAGGUGACAGUUGUUAAAGGAGCAAUCCGCUUAAAGAGGAGCUUGCGGCAGAUUAGCUAGUGGUAAGGUAAUGGCUUACCAAGGCUUCGAUCUGUAUCCGGCCUGAGAGGGCGGUCGGACACACUGACACUGAAUAACGGGUCAGACUCCUACGGGAGGCAGCAGUCGGGAAUUUUGGGCAAUGGGCGAAAGCCUGACCCAGCAACGCCGCGUGAAGGAUGAAGUAUUUCGGUAUGUAAACUUCGAAAGAAUGGGAAGAAUCAAUGACGGUACCAUUUAUAAGGUCCGGCUAACUACGUGCCAGCAGCCGCCGCGGUAAG
rnacentral:rRNA from 1 species